ACGUCGUACAGAGUGAAAUUGUUGAUAAAUAAUAAAAUGUGAGCUGAAGGAUAAUUAAGAUCUAACGGUGUACAACAAUUUGGCAUAUCUUAACACAUUUAAUGUUUGACACACUUGAAACUCAACCUAUAUAUAUACGAAAAAUAUCUGGUGCGACGAAAAUAAUAUGAGUUAAAUAUGUCAUUUGCUGUCAGUCGUUCGAUUUGAUAUUUGACUAAAUAUCAACUCACUUCAAGAUCUUCACCGCCCGUUGUACAAAGAUAAGAAAGACAAUAGAGCAGAAGAUGAACCAUUAGAAUAUUAAAAAAAACUAAAAACCUAAUGUCUCGGUGCAUAUAGUCCUCGACGCAUAAUGGAAAUUAAAAUUAACUCCCAGCGGUUCAAAUAAUCAAAUCUGGCUGGCGGCAAUUCAUCCAAAACUAAAUUGAACUUUUACUUAAGUAUAUAAUUCCAAUGUGUUUAGAUGUCAAUAUAUUAAUUUUUCUUUGUAUCAAACUCAAACGAUCGAUCGAUGGCUCACCUUUUUAAAUUUUAACAUAUAUUCGGAUCGACAUGGCAACAAUUAGAUAUAUAAGAAUCGAUCAGUGUUUUUCUAGUAAACCUAAAAUAGACAGAAUCGCAGUCAAUAAGGCCGGUGGACCAUAGCAAAAAAUCAAUGGAAUAUAUACUUUAUGCAAUUAUGCCAGAACCUUAUAAGUAGUUACUAGUAAUUACUACUUAGUACUAUUUUCAAAAUUAAAAAACGGCAUUUUUGGACUGAAAGAAAAUGGAUAUAUGGCUAUAUGAUAUUAUUAGUCAUUAGCUAUUAAAAUUUCAAGAAAGGGUUUUUAUUUUUUAAAUUAAUUUUUAUAAUACAAAAAAAUUGUAUAAAAUAUUAGAAUCAUUAGCAAAAUUAUAAUUCUGUUAUAAAUCCAAUAUUCAUUAUUCACUUACAAUUUACCCAAUGUGAUUAUGUAUGUGAGUGUCCAAGUUCUGAAUUAUGUAAUUUUAAAUUUUAAUUACCACUUUUUUUUUUAAAUAAAACCUUAAAAUGAUAUAAGAAAACCUUUAAAUAUUUACGAUAUUUCUCUUAUCAAAUUUCAUCACUCAAAGAAUGUCAAAAACGUACAAGGAAUUCUCUCUACGUCUAAAUUUCAAACUUCAAGAAAACCAAUAAAUUAAUAAUCAUAAAAACAUGCAUAGCAACUAGCAAGUACCAAGCAAGGCUAAUCCAAGGUAGGAUGUCUAACUAAAGAACCUUUAACGGAAGAAAGUAAAGGCUAUUGAGAAUUUAACCUCUUCGAUCUCUAAUUCUCUAUAAAUUUUAAUAAGGAAUAAAUAAAGAGGUCUCAAAAAAUUAAACAUGAUAAAAAAGAAGGCAGGAAAGAAAAAGGGAGAGGAGUAGCUGGAUAUGUCAACGACUAACGCAUGGGAAGGAGAAAGAAAAAGUUUUAAGAGAAGAAUUUAAUUUACCAAUUCGGAUUUCUCCUCUAAUGAGUGAUGUCUUUAUCAAGAAAUCCGCUUUCUUGAAUUCUGUGAGCAGUCUUACCCCGUUCUCCUCUCGGGAUUGAAGACGAUGGUACUAUCCCAAGAAAGCAUCAUCCAUUUUGCUUUGCUGUCAUCUGUGAAAGGGACAAUUAAGUGAGUAAAAAAAAUACCAUUCUAAUUUCUAA
rnacentral:lncRNA from 1 species